AAUUUAAAUGAUGAACACUUGUAAAUUCUUGAUAGGAAGAGUAUGAAAUAUAAUGAGUACUACAACUAAGCUGAAUAAAUU
rfam:Lucilia cuprina strain LS Scaffold170, whole genome shotgun sequence.